CGUCUUUGGGUUAACCGAAUCCUGGCAGCCUCUGAGGAAUCACUCCUUGCAAGUCACCUGGUUAUGGAAACAGCUGGGUCAGAAGAUCCCCUGCACUGCUUCAAGACUCUUCCCAACACUCAACAAACCGGAAGUUUCCAGAAGAGGGCAACAAAGAUGGAGAAGAAGAACCUGUGAUUUCCUGGUUACUAAUGGACACUUCUAGAACAUGCUCACCAAGCCCAAUGUUUAUGCGUCAUUCAUCGUCUGUGGAUUGUUAGCAUCAGAAAAGUAUAACAUAAAUAAGAACAGUUAUUUUUACAUUCAGAAGCAUUUACCUAUUCAUAAUUAACAUCUUCCUAAAAUAAAUACAUAAUUAGAUGUCUCAUGAAAAAAAAGAAGACAGAGUUACAGAUGAGUUUAUGUAGGUUAUAUGAAGGUUGAUUAUAAUGGAAAAUUAAUUACAAGCAUCUUGGACUAAGUGACUGGCAUACUAUUUUGUUUUGCAAUAAUUAAGGGUGUUAAUAGUAAACAAUGAACAAGGAGAUAUCAAAAGGUUUAAAUGGAACAAAAUUAUUUAGGGUCUUAAUUAGGAAAUAAAAAGGAAAAAAGCCACA